GCCUCACCACUCUUUUGGAGAAGAAAUUUUUCCUAAUAUCUAACCUGAACAGCCCCUGGUGCAACUUGAACCCAUUACCUUUUAUCACUGUUACAUGGGAGAAGAGGCCGACCCCCACCUCACCACAACCUCCUUUCAGGGAGCUGUGGAGAGCAAUAAGGUCUCCUGCACCUCCUCUUCUCCAGGCUGAACAACCCCAGUUCCCUCAGCCCAUCCCCAUAAGAUUCAUGCUCCGGACCACUCACAUCUCAGCUGCCCUUUUCUGGACAUGCUCCAGGGCCUCAGUGUCUUUUUGAGGGGCCCAAAACAAACACUGUACUCAAGGUACAACCUCCCCAGAGCUGAGUACAGAAGCCCUUUAAGAAUCACUUUUCACCCUUGUUUUCCCAAUGGUAAGCUUAAGCCGUGAUGCAUUAUUUGAAGAAGGAUUCUCUUUUGGCUUAUAGUCCUGAGUCCUACUUGUUCUUUUUUUCUUUUUUAGCAGGGAAUAAUCUCAACAUCCCCUUGUGUUUGCUGAUAUUUCAAGGUGACAGAAUUGGCUGAAGUGAGCCAUGAAGGGCUAAACUGAGCCACUGGGAUCACUAUAGGAGGAACCAGAGGCAGUGCACAUGGACACCACUCCAGCAGCAGCCCAGAAUGGGAACUGGGACCCAAAGGAGCAGCUACUUCUCUGCUCAUUUCCUGCUUUUCGAGAAAAUGCUCUCAGUAGUUUGAAAAGAAUGCAGAAUAACAUCUUGCGUACUCCAUGUACCUCAACCUGCUUGAAAUCCCUCCAGCUGGGUAAUAAAGGCUGUUUUUCUGCCUUCAUUCAACCAACAUUCCUAAACCUCUGCAACAACCUACUUCUACUGCCAGCCUAUGUCACUACUCCAUCCAAAUGGAAAUAAAAUCUUUUAGGGUGGAAAAAUUGCAUGCUACCAAAACGUAUAUCUGCCCAUGCUCCCUGCAAUCACAGUGCUGUCUCUGGAACUCACAUCCCCUUCCUCCCUCUGUGAUGUUUCUCACAUUCAGCAGUCAGGAAAGACCUGUCCUGUGCAGGUACCACAUCCUUCACCUCUUCGUGCCAGGUGGGGGCAGCAGCCUUCAAACAAGCAGAUGGUGCUCACCUUCCUAUGGAUAUGAAUGGGAAGGAGAGAAGUAGAGUUCUGGGCCUCUUGAAUGAGUUCUGAGAUAAAUCUCUUAUAGAGAAGUCUGACCUCAAGGGCAGGGCAGGUGCAAGCUGGAAGAAGCAACUGGUUGUUGGCUGUGCUCUUCAGCUCUGCAGAUGUUACAUCUUUCCCAAAGCAGGACAGAAAAACAGAGAGGAAUGAAUGAUGAAAUCCUUUAGUAAAAAAAUGUUGUUUCUCUGUCCCCUCAGCCAUUCCCAUCUUAUAUGAGGUUAUUACUGCAACAUUAUUUAUGCUCCAAUCACAGGAAUUUUUUCAUAGUCAUGAAUAGCUUUGUAAAACUAAGAAAAGACUCAGAAGAAGCCAUUUUUUCCCUGUUUGAAGUCCUAACACACUUUAAGUUUCUGCAAUAAAACUGUCAGUCCAUAAAGUUGGGCUGCUAAGACCAUAGAUAAAAUGUAGUUAUUCUAAAGCAAUUGAGCUCCUUUGAAAAGCAAUGAUAGUUUCGAGGAACUCAGCACUAUUGAAAAGGCUUUCAAUUUAAGCCUGAAUUUUCCAGAGGAAUAAUGAACAGUAAAUUUCACUGACUUAAUUUUCAAAUGCCCAUGUUGAAAUAGCCUUAGGCGUCUGAUCACUCCUGCUGCCAGCUCUUAGACAUCCAGGAGUGAAAUUCAGCAGCUUAAGAUGCAGAUGCUGAAUCACUGCAUUUUACAGGUCUGUGUUUCCCAGCAAAAUGGCCACAAUUUUAGGUUACCGUGCAAAGCUGGUUUGAUAAACUGCAUCGUCCUUAGCAGGACUCUGGAUGUCCAGUACUGUGAGCAGUUGCAAAUGAAAGAAGCUGUGCUCCCAUGAUGACUUUUAGCUCUUUAAAUCGCAGGAUUAAGCAGGUAGAUGUGGCUUUAGACAUCCACGUUUGGACCUCCUGUCAAAGACAAAAGUGUUAUAAAAAUCAAUCUGAUGGGACUGCACAGCACCUGAUCGUCACCAGCACACUUUUAGUUUCUCUCUGUUGGUCUGAGCUUUAAAUGUACAUUAAAAAGAAUUGAGAAGUUGAAAUAAGCCAGUUACAACUCUCAAAAGAACCAUUUUUAAACACAGAAGCAUUCAGAGAACAAAACCUCCUUUUCAGCACUUCUGGCUCAUUCAUGGGGGCCAUUUCUUACAGUUCUGCUAAAUCAGUUGAGAAAGUCACCAAAGCAUAGCAGCAUCACAGUGUUCCUAUGAAAAAAGGCACCAAAGAUCCUUGAGAAAACCCUGAAUAGCGCAGAAAGCAAGAACAAAUGUUUUAUAUAUGUGGUAUUGUUAAAACUCCCAAGUGGCAUAAAUAUAAUAAACAAUAGUGAAGAAUGGGAUAUUUCUGUUUGUUUCCACACACUUGAGAUGACCUAACCUACCUCAGGCAUGGUUCCACUUUGUGACUUGUGAGUUAUUUGAUCGUUCCAAACUUGUGAAAAUAAACACUAUUAUUCUACUGUU